GAUGAACGCUGGCGGCGUGCCUAAUACAUGCAAGUCGAGCGAAAAGACGAGGAGCUUGCUCCUUUCACGUGAGCGGAGGACGGGUGAGAAACACGUGGAUAACCUACCUAUAUGUCUGGGAUAUCUUCGGAAAACCGGAGCAAAUCCCGGAGAAUCUAUUGAUCCGCAUGGGGCAAUGGAGAAAGACGGUUUUUCGGGAUCUUCUAGCGGGAUCCGCGCCGGUUUGGCUGGUUGGUACGGUCACGGCUUACCAAGGCAACGAUGCGUAGCCGACGUGAGAGGGGGAUCGGCCACACUGGAACUGAGACACGGUCAAGACUCCUACGGGAGGCAGCAGUAGGGAACGGUCCGCAAUGGGCGAAAGCCUGACGCAGCAAGGCGGAGUGAGUGAUGAAGGUCUUCGGAUCGUGAAGAUCGGUUAUUGGUGAAGAACCAAUGUGUAAGGAACCAUGCCCUUCUUGACGGUAACUAGUCAGAAAGCCACGGCUAACUACGUG
rnacentral:rRNA from 1 species